AGCUUCUGAUGAAUUAAAUUCCAUAACGAAACCUGUCUUAUUAAAACACAAUAGAGAAAAAGAAACUCCCCCUGGAAACAUAUAUACUCGUA
rnacentral:snoRNA from 1 species